rnacentral:rRNA from 1 species
GAUGAACGCUGGCGGCGUGCCUAACACAUGCAAGUCGAACGGAGUCGUUUUGGAAAUCUCUUCGGAGAUGGAAUUCUCGACUUAGUGGCGGACGGGUGAGUAACGCGUGAGCAAUCUGCCUUUAAGAGGGGGAUAACAGUCGGAAACGGCUGCUAAUACCGCAUAAAGCAUUAAAUUCGCAUGUUUUUGAUGCCAAAGGAGCAAUCCGCUUUUAGAUGAGCUCGCGUCUGAUUAGCUAGUUGGCGGGGUAACGGCCCACCAAGGCGACGAUCAGUAGCCGGAUUAGGAGGUUGACCGGCCACUUUGGACUGAGACACGGCCCAGACUCCUACGGGAGGCAGCAGUGGGGAAUAUUGCGCAAUGGGGGAAACCCUGACGCAGCAUCGCCGCGUGAUUGAAGAAGGCCUUCGGGUUGUAAAGAUCUUUAAUCAGGGACGAAACAAAUGACGGUACCUGAAGAAUAAGCUCCGGCUAACUACGUG